AAAAAAGGUAAGCUACUAAGAGCGAAUGGUGGAUGCCUUGACUGGUAAAGGCGAUGAAGGACGUACUAGACUGCGAUAAGCUACGGGGAGCUGUCAAGAAGCUUUGAUCCGUAGAUUUCCGAAUGGGGCAACCCAAUGUAUAGAGAUAUACAUUACCUAUAUAGGAGCGAACGAGGGGAAUUGAAACAUCUUAGUACCCUCAGGAAAAGAAAUCAAUAGAGAUUGCGUCAGUAGCGGCGAGCGAAAGCGCAAGAGGGCAAACCCAGUGCUUGCACUGGGGGUUGUAGGACUGCAAUGUGCAAGAGGUGAGUUUAGCAGAACAUUCUGGAAAGUAUAGCCAUAGAGGGUGAUAGUCCCGUAUGCGAAAAACAAACCUUAGCUAGCAGUAUCCUGAGUAGGGCGGGACACGAGAAAUCCUGUCUGAAGCUGGGUCGACCACGAUCCAACCCUAAAUACUAAUACCAGAUCGAUAGUGCACAAGUACCGUGAGGGAAAGGUGAAAAGAACUGAGGUGAUCAGAGUGAAAUAGAACCUGAAACCAUUUGCUUACAAUCAUUCAGAGCCCUAUGUAGCAAUACAGGGUGAUGGACUGCCUUUUGCAUAAUGAGCCUGCGAGUUGUGGUGUCUGGCAAGGUUAAGCAAACGUGAAGCCGUAGCGAAAGCGAGUCUGAAUAGGGCGCUUAGUCAGAUGCUGCAGACCCGAAACGAAGUGAUCUAUCCAUGAGCAAGUUGAAGCUAGUGUAAGAACUAGUGGAGGACUGAACCCAUAGGCGUUGAAAAGCCCCGGGAUGACUUGUGGAUAGGGGUGAAAGGCCAAUCAAACUUCGUGAUAGCUGGUUCUCUCCGAAAUAUAUUUAGGUAUAGCGUUGUGUCGUAAUAUAAGGGGGUAGAGCACUGAAUGGGCUAGGGCAUACACCAAUGUACCAAACCCUAUCAAACUCCGAAUACCUUAUAUGUAAUCACAGCAGUCAGGCGGCGAGUGAUAAAAUCCGUCGUCAAGAGGGAAACAACCCAGACUACCAGCUAAGGUCCCUAAAUCUUACUUAAGUGGAAAACGAUGUGAAGUUACUUAAACAACCAGGAGGUUGGCUUAGAAGCAGCCAUCCUUUAAAGAAAGCGUAAUAGCUCACUGGUCUAGUGAUUUUGCGCGGAAAAUAUAACGGGGCUAAAGUAAGUACCGAAGCUGUAGACUUGAUUUUAUCAAGUGGUAGGAGAGCGUUCUAUUUGCGUCGAAGGUAUACCGGUAAGGAGUGCUGGAGCGAAUAGAAGUGAGCAUGCAGGCAUGAGUAGCGAUAAUUAAUGUGAGAAUCAUUAACGCCGUAAACCCAAGGUUUCCUACGCGAUGCUCGUCAUCGUAGGGUUAGUCGGGUCCUAAGUCGAGUCCGAAAGGGGUAGACGAUGGCAAAUUGGUUAAUAUUCCAAUACCAACAUUAGUGUGCGAUGGAAGGACGCUUAGGGCUAAGGGGGCUAGCGGAUGGAAGUGCUAGUCUAAGGUCGUAGGAGGUUAUACAGGCAAAUCCGUAUAACAAUACUCCGAGAACUGAAAGGCUUUUUGAAGUCUUCGGAUGGAUAGAAGAACCCCUGAUGCCAUCGAGCCAAGAAAAGUUUCUAAGUUUAGCUAAUGUUGCCCGUACCGUAAACCGACACAGGUGGGUGGGAUGAGUAUUCUAAGGCGCGUGGAAGAACUCUCUUUAAGGAACUCUGCAAAAUAGCACCGUAUCUUCGGUAUAAGGUGUGGUUCGCUUCGUAUUAGGAUUUACUCCGAAAGCGAAGAAACUUACAACAAAGAGUCCCUCCCGACUGUUUACCAAAAACACAGCACUCUGCUAACUCGUAAGAGGAUGUAUAGGGUGUGACGCCUGCCCGGUGCUCGAAGGUUAAUUGAUGGGGUUAGCAUUAGCGAAGCUCUUGAUCGAAGCCCGAGUAAACGGCGGCCGUAACUAUAACGGUCCUAAGGUAGCGAAAUUCCUUGUCGGUUAAAUACCGACCUGCAUGAAUGGCGUAACGAGAUGGGAGCUGUCUCAAAGAGGGAUCCAGUGAAAUUGUAGUGGAGGUGAAAAUUCCUCCUACCCGCGGCAAGACGGAGAGACCCCGUGGACCUUUACUACAGCUUGACACUGCUAUUUGGAUAAGAAUGUGCAGGAUAGGUGGGAGGCUUUGAGUAUAUGACGCCAGUUGUAUAUGAGCCAUUGUUGAGAUACCACUCUUUCUUAUUUGGGUAGCUAACCAGCUUGAGUUAUCCUCAAGUGGGACAAUGUCUGGUGGGUAGUUUGACUGGGGCGGUCGCCUCCCAAAUAAUAACGGAGGCUUACAAAGGUUGGCUCAGAACGGUUGGAAAUCGUUCGUAGAGUAUAAAGGUAUAAGCCAGCUUAACUGCAAGACAUACAAGUCAAGCAGAGACGAAAGUCGGUCUUAGUGAUCCGGUGGUUCUGUGUGGAAGGGCCAUCGCUCAAAGGAUAAAAGGUACCCCGGGGAUAACAGGCUGAUCUCCCCCAAGAGCUCACAUCGACGGGGAGGUUUGGCACCUCGAUGUCGGCUCAUCGCAUCCUGGGGCUGGAGCAGGUCCCAAGGGUAUGGCUGUUCGCCAUUUAAAGCGGUACGCGAGCUGGGUUCAGAACGUCGUGAGACAGUUCGGUCCCUAUCUGCCGUGGGCGUAAGAAGAUUGAAGAGAUUUGACCCUAGUACGAGAGGACCGGGUUGAACAAACCACUGGUGUAGCUGUUGUUCUGCCAAGAGCAUCGCAGCGUAGCUAAGUUUGGAAAGGAUAAACGCUGAAAGCAUCUAAGCGUGAAGCCAACUCUAAGAUGAAUCUUCUCUAAGCUCUCUAGAAGACUACUAGUUUGAUAGGCUGGGUGUGUAAUGGAUGAAAGUCCUUUAGCUGACCAGUACUAAUAGAGCGUUUGGCUUAUCUUUAAUAAAGCAU
rnacentral:rRNA from 1 species